rnacentral:tRNA from 1 species
AGGGUUGCAGUUUAACAUUAAACAUUUGAUUUGCAUUCAAAAAAUUAUUUUUAUAAAUCUACCUUA